GGCCUGGGACUUGGACUCAACCUGCGUAGGCUCGAAGUUCGAGGUGAGCAAAGUUUCAGGUGUGC
rnacentral:pre_miRNA from 1 species